UACGAGGGGGGCAAAUGUUGUUCGGAAUCACUGGGCGUAAAGGGAGCGUAGGCGGGGUCUUAAGUCAAGUGUUUAAUCCCGGGGCCCAACCCCGGACCGGCAUUUUAAACUGGGACUCUUGAAUAGUGGAGAGGUCGGUGGAAUUGGGGGUGUAGCGGUGGAAUGCGUAGAGAUCCCCAAGAACACCAGUUGCGAAGGCGGCCGACUGGACACAUAUUGACGCUGAGGCUCGAAAGCAUGGGGAGCAAACAGG
rnacentral:rRNA from 1 species